rnacentral:misc_RNA from 1 species
GAUGAAGAACGCAGCGAAAUGCGAUAAGUAAUGUGAAUUGCAGAAUUCAGUGAAUCAUCGAAUCUUUGAACGCACCUUGCGCCCUUUGGCCAUUCCGAAGGGCAUGCCUGUUUGAGUAUCAUGAACACCUCAACUCUCAUGGUUUGCCAUGAUGAGCUUGGACUUUGGGGGUCUUGCCGGCCUAUGGGUCGGCUCCUCUCAAAUUAAUCAGCUUGCCAGUGUUUGGUGGCAUCACAGGUGUGAUAACUAUCUACGCUUGUGGUUUUCCAUCAGGUAACCUUCAGUGAUGGAGGUUCGCUGGGGCUCAUAAAUGUCUCUCCUCAGUGAGGACAGCUUUUUUGAACGUUUGAUCUCAAAGCAGGUAGGACUACCCGCUGAACUUAAGCAUAUCAAUAAGCGGAGGA